CUAAGUGAAUAACCUAAGCAGAACUUCCAUUCUCACAAAAAUCAUGUCAGGCUAUAGAAGGUAAGAAACUUUUCACAACCCUGAACAAUGAGUUAGUUACUCAAAGACAGUAAGUUUGUUUUAGAGGAGAAACAGCACUGGAUACAACACAUUCUGGAGAGAAACCACAGCACAAAAAAGGAUGCCGGGCUUCUCCUACAAGGUUCUGACUCCAUUCCAAAGGACAGCCAAGAGGAAAUUCUCCAAGGAAACAGAGGCAGUAAACACCAUGGUAAUACCUAGCUAUCAAAAGAAACAAACAGAGUCCUGUAUCACAGGCAGACAAGUUGAGACAACACCCUGACGUUCUUCUCUUGAACAGACAAGACUCAGAAUUCGGCACAGCUCUGAAGCCUAAAGAAACCACGCACUCUACAUGAAAUGUGCUCAGAAAAAUGAUUUUAGAGACUUGAUCUGUAUGAUGGUCUUGGUAUACUAACUCCCUGAGAAGAGCUGAAUGUAUUAUUGCAGCCAUCAAGCGCACAAACAAUAAGCAUGCAACUCAUACCAAGGCACUCCCAAAAGUGUUUUCUCAAAACUGAACGAACACAGCUAGAGGAGUAGCACAUAUACAUCACAUACUCAAGCUCUAGUGCUUUUUCCAGUAAAUAAUGUAUUUGGGUGUCAGAAGUUCAUAGAGAUAACCUACAAUCAAGAACUAAAGAUGAUGACCCAUCAACAUCACCAGAAAUAAAUGCUGGUACAUGACAAACUAAAUGACAGACACUGUGGAAUUCCUUGUUAAUUAACCACAAAAACUUAUCCAUAAUGUAACAAUGAAUUCAAACUUCUUGCAUACAGUUGAUGUGGCCAGUUGCAAAGAACACAGACUACUUCAGUGUGUCAGAUACAUACAGGCUCAGAUACAGUACUUUUUAGUGUAUUUAUUAAAUAUUCAUACUCAACACUUAAUGCUCUUUAUCUCAUACAGAACACAUUCUUAAACUUGUAAACAACUUCAAUAUAUCCUAAGUUACAAGCUGUUUUCUUAAGAAAGCAAAAGUGAAGAAACUGGCAAGUUUCUGAAGGCUGAAACACCCUUUGUCAUUUAUAUUUGAUAAAAUCAAGGCAUUGAUCUGCAAGUUUGCAAAUUAUAACAAACCAAA
rnacentral:lncRNA from 1 species